rnacentral:rRNA from 1 species
AAUAGAUACCCGGGUAGUCCACGCCGUAAACGAUGUCGACUUGGAGGUUGUGCCCUUGAGGCGUGGCUUCCGGAGCUAACGCGUUAAGUCGACCGCCUGGGGAGUACGGCCGCAAGGUUAAAACUCAAAUGAAUUGACGGGGGCCCGCACAAGCGGUGGAGCAUGUGGUUUAAUUCGAUGCAACGCGAAGAACCUUACCUACUCUUGACAUCCAGAGAACUUAGCAGAGAUGCUUUGGUGCCUUCGGGAACUCUGAGACAGGUGCUGCAUGGCUGUCGUCAGCUCGUGUUGUGAAAUGUUGGGUUAAGUCCCGCAACGAGCGCAACCCUUAUCCUUUGUUGCCAGCGGUUAGGCCGGGAACUCAAAGGAGACUGCCAGUGAUAAACUGGAGGAAGGUGGGGAUGACGUCAAGUCAUCAUGGCCCUUACGAGUAGGGCUACACACGUGCUACAAUGGCAUAUACAAAAGAGAAGCGACCUCGCGAGAGCAAGCGGACCUCAUAAAAGUAUGUCGUAGUCCGGA